rnacentral:rRNA from 1 species
UACGUAGGGGGCAAGCGUUGUCCGGAAUCAUUGGGCGUAAAGCGCGCGUAGGCGGCCCGGUAAGUCCGUUGUAAAAGUCGAAGGCUCAACCUUCGAAAGCCGAUGGAUACUGCCGGGCUAGAGUCCGGAAGAGGCGAGUGGAAUUCCUGGUGUAGCGGUGGAAUGCGCAGAUAUCAGGAAGAACACCCGUGGCGAAGGCGGCUCUCUGGUACGGAACUGACGCUGAGACGCGAAAGCGUGGGGAGCGAACAGG